UACGGAGGGUGCAAGCGUUGCUCGGAAUUAUUGGGCGUAAAGCGCGCGCAGGUGGUUUCUUAAGUCUGAUGUGAAAGCCCACGGCUCAACCGUGGAGGGUCAUUGGAAACUGGGGAACUUGAGUGCAGGAGAGAAGAGUGGAAUUCCACGUGUAGCGGUGAAAUGCGUAGAGAUGUGGAGGAACACCAGUGGCGAAGGCGACUCUUUGGCCUGUAACUGACACUGAGGCGCGAAAGCGUGGGGAGCAAACAGG
rnacentral:rRNA from 1 species